rnacentral:rRNA from 1 species
GAUGAACGCUGGCGGCGUGCCUAAUACAUGCAAGUCGAGCGAACGGACGAGAAGCUUGCUUCUCUGAUGUUAGCGGCGGACGGGUGAGUAACACGUGGAUAACCUACCUAUAAGACUGGGAUAACUUCGGGAAACCGGAGCUAAUACCGGAUAAUAUUUUGAACCGCAUGGUUCAAAAGUGAAAGACGGUCUUGCUGUCACUUAUAGAUGGAUCCGCGCUGCAUUAGCUAGUUGGUAAAGUAACGGCUUACCAAGGCAACGAUGCAUAGCCGACCUGAGAGGGUGAUCGGCCACACUGGAACUGAGACACGGUCCAGACUCCUACGGGAGGCAGCAGUAGGGAAUCUUCCGCAAUGGGCGAAAGCCUGACGGAGCAACGCCGCGUGAGUGAUGAAGGUCUUCGGAUCGUAAAACUCUGUUAUUAGGGAAGAACAUAUGUGUAAGUAACUGUGCACAUCUUGACGGUACCUAAUCAGAAAGCCACGGCUAACUACGUG